rnacentral:rRNA from 1 species
UCCUACGGGAGGCAGCAGUGGGGAAUAUUGCACAAUGGGCGCAAGCCUGAUGCAGCGACGCCGCGUGAGGGAUGACGGCCUUCGGGUUGUAAACCUCUUUCAGUAGGGAAGAAGCGAAAGUGACGGUACCUGCAGAAGAAGCGCCGGCUAACUACGUGCCAGCAGCCGCGGUAAUACGUAGGGCGCAAGCGUUAUCCGGAAUUAUUGGGCGUAAAGAGCUCGUAGGCGGUUUGUCGCGUCUGCCGUGAAAGUCCGGGGCUCAACUCCGGAUCUGCGGUGGGUACGGGCAGACUAGAGUGAUGUAGGGGAGACUGGAAUUCCUGGUGUAGCGGUGAAAUGCGCAGAUAUCAGGAGGAACACCGAUGGCGAAGGCAGGUCUCUGGGCAUUAACUGACGCUGAGGAGCGAAAGCAUGGGGAGCGAACAGGAUUAGAUACCCUGGUAGUCCAUGCCGUAAACGUUGGGCACUAGGUGUGGGGGACAUUCCACGUUUUCCGCUCCGUAGGUAACGCAUUUCCUCCUGGGGGCGGGGGGUAUUUUUUUUC